rnacentral:rRNA from 1 species
GGAAUUUUGGACAAUGGGCGAAAGCCUGAUCCAGCAAUGCCGCGUGCAGGAUGAAGGCCUUCGGGUUGUAAACUGCUUUUGUACGGAACGAAAAGUCUCGGGAUAAUACCCUGGGACCAUGACGGUACCGUAAGAAUAAGCACCGGCUAACUACGUGCCAGCAGCCGCGGUAAUACGUAGGGUGCAAGCGUUAAUCGGAAUUACUGGGCGUAAAGCGUGCGCAGGCGGUUAUAUAAGACAGAUGUGAAAUCCCCGGGCUCAACCUGGGAACUGCAUUUGUGACUGUAUAGCUAGAGUACGGUAGAGGGGGAUGGAAUUCCGCGUGUAGCAGUGAAAUGCGUAGAUAUGCGGAGGAACACCGAUGGCGAAGGCAAUCCCCUGGACCUGUACUGACGCUCAUGCACGAAAGCGUGGGGAGCAAACAGGAUUAGAUACCCCAG